rnacentral:lncRNA from 1 species
AUGCUGAACGGGGGGAGGGAGGGCCUGUUUCAGCUGGGACAGCAGCUCCAGCAGCAGGGGGAGUACCAGGCCGCCCUACACUGCUUCCUCAGCUCUCUGCUGGGGUUGAGGCAUGUGCAGAGCUUUACCUCGCUGCCCAACUGCCUGCAUCAGAUUGCUGAACUCUUCAUCUCCGAAAAUAAUUACGGCAAGGCCCUGCAGUUCAUUCAGGCUGAGAAGAUGUUCUAUGAGGUUGCUCUGAUCGAGCUCACUGCUGUUCAGGGGAGCACAGGCCCCCAGGAGGAGGCUUUGCUGGGCUCGGCGGGGACAGGAUGGGCGUCCUCAGAGGAGCUAUCGGAUCAGGCCUCUCAGGCACAGCACCUGGAGCAGCUAGCCCAGCUCUGCAUCGUGAGUAAAAGACCUCAUCUUGCUUUAGAGUACAGUGGGAAAGCCACUAAGAUCCAUCAGAGGGCCUUUGGCAACGACCACCCCAUCACAGACAGGAGUCUGGAGCUGCUGGCCACCGUCUACGCAGAGAUCGGCAAGACAGAAUACUCAGACUCCCUGGACCAGUGUGUGUCAGUGCUGUCCAAGAGGUUUGCUGCUGCCGAGUCCUUCAGAGACAAACUCAACAACGGUCUUCCCCAUUCCCACUCCCAUUCCCAUCGGGAGAAACACACUGAGGUCUGGCACAGGAAAGACCCCAGUCCACAGGAUGACACACCAAAACCGAAGGUCACCAACGGUAAAAUCCCUACGUCCAUACUGAAGAGGUCUGGCUCAGGAUCAGACUCGGAGCCCAGCCACAGAUGGAAAGGCGAGCGACGGGUCCGGUUCCGGGAGCCUGAGACCACUGUGCAUGCCUAUGACACGUCACCGCCACGCCCCCACCUGGCCCUGUUCACCUGCUUGUUCCUGCUGAUGUCACUGCUGGGCGUGGUCAUGUACAGCACGGACCGCCGGCGCCCACAGCGUGUGUGUGAGGAGCUGGAGGCCUCAUUGGCUGUCUAUCUGAUACACAUGAAACAGCUGCUGUGGGGCUGCUGGAUCUGGCUAACCAUGCAGUGA